AAUUACUGGUGUAAGCAUUGAUAUUUGUUAGGGAUUGUUCUAUUAAAACGUAUUUAAAGAUGCCCAGAGCUGUGUGGUGUCAGAUGACGUAGAUAUCAUGGAAGUUGAGAUACAGAUCAAACACUAUAUCUGAAUACAUCAAGAUGGAACCUACUACGCUAUUUGUAGGAGUACCUUUACUACAAUUGCUAUAAUAAAUGCACUGUGCUAAUUUAGCUGGAAAAGGAAUUUGUUCAGGUGGUGGAGCAGGUUUUUUUUUUAUAAUCCAGUAACAACAAUGAAAACAAAUCCGUAAAUGGUCGACUUCAGGUUCUUUGACCGAAGAAGAGAAAAGUAACAGAGAUUCAUUAACCAAAGCAGAUAAACGUACCAUGGGUUCUUUACCUGAAGAAGAGGAUAAUUUCCUUCGAAUGUUUAAAUUGAUUAGCAAUAUUGCACCAAAAGCAGUAAGGGAUAAGUUCGAUCAUCAUUUCCCAGCAGCGUCACUGUCAAGCAUAUUAACCACAAACAGAAAAAAAAUUGAUAAUCUUUUUUACUAUAGCAUUAUCAACAAGAAACAAAUGGAUCUUAUGU